CCCUUAGAUGUUCUGGGCCGCACGCGCGCUACACUGAUGCAUUCAACGAGUCUAAAACCUGCUCUGAUAGGGGUGGGUAAUCUUUUGAAUGUGCAUCGUGAUUGGGAUAGAUGAUUGCAAUUUUUCAUCUUCAACGAGGAAUGCCUAGUAAACGCAAGUCAUCAGCUUGCAUUGAUUACGUCCCUGCCCUUUGUACACACCGCCCGUCGCUCCUACCGAUUGAAUGAUCCGAUGAAUAUCAUGGAUUGAGGAUGCAAGCAGGUUCGCCUGUCUUCAUCUUCGAGAAGUUAAGUAAAUCUUAUCAUUUAGAGGAAGGAGAAGUCGUAACA
rnacentral:rRNA from 1 species